GUCCCUGUCCCUGGCUCUUCAUGAGAGCCGCCUGCAGGGGCCGCACAGGUAGAGACGCCCUGGCUCACAGGGAGCGCUGCUACCGGGUCAGCUAUGGCUGNGGGUGUUUACCUGCCACAUGCUUUCUGGAAGAAGAGCCUGGGUCCUGGCACAGGAGACGUUGCCUGAACACAGAGUCUCUUUCCGGCCCCGCCUCAGGUGUGUGCCCAGAGGGAGCGUCCCGAG
rnacentral:lncRNA from 1 species